GUCCUCUCAGGAUCACACCUGGAAAGUUUCCAGUACUCUACCAGACUCGGUUAUGGGAGGGAGAGUCGAGCAGAGGCACUCCAUUCCAUUUCUAGCUUGAGCAGUGGCAAGCAAGUGGGAGGCAAUCAGCUACAAGG